UACGGAGGGUGCAAGCGUUAAUCGGAAUUACUGGGCGUAAAGCGUGCGCAGGCGGUUUGUUAAGUCCGUUGUGAAAGCCCCGAGCUCAACCUGGGAAUUGCAGUGGAUACUGGCAGGCUGGAGUACGGUAGAGGAAGGUGGAAUUCCCGGUGUAGCAGUGAAAUGCGUAGAGAUCCGGAGGAACACCGACGGCGUAGGCAGCGCCCUAGACGAGACCUGGCGCUCAGGCACGAAAGCGCGGGGAGCGAACAGG
rnacentral:rRNA from 1 species